AGUGAACGCUGGCGGUAGGCCUAACACAUGCAAGUCGAACGGCAGCACAGUAAGAGCUUGCUCUUACGGGUGGCGAGUGGCGGACGGGUGAGGAAUACAUCGGAAUCUACUUUUUCGUGGGGGAUAACGUAGGUAAACUUACGCUAAUACCGCAUACGACCUACGGGUGAAAGCAGUGGAUCUUCGGACCUUGCGCGAUUGAAUGAGCCGAUGUCGGAUUAGCUAGUUGGCGGGGUAAAGGCCCACCAAGGCGACGAUCCGUAGCUGGUCUGAGAGGAUGAUCAGCCACACUGGAAGUGAGACACGGUCAAGACUCCUAAGGGAGGCAGCAGUGGGGAAUAUUGGACAAUGGGCGCAAGCCUGAUCCAGCCAUACCGCGUGGGUGAAGAAGGCCUUCGGGUUGUAAAGCCCUUUUGUUGGGAAAGAAAAGCAGCAGGUUAAUACCCCGCUGUUCUGACGGUACCCAAAGAAUAAGCACCGGCUAACUUCGUG
rnacentral:rRNA from 1 species